UACAUGUGGGGCAAGCGUUGUUCGGAAUUACUGGGCGUAAAGGGCUCGUAGGCGGCCAACUAAGUCAUACGUGAAAUCCCUCAGCUUAACUGGGGAACUGCGUCUGAGACUGAUUGGCUCGAGGACAGGAGAGGAACGCGGAAUUCCAGGUGUAGCGGUGAAAUGCGUAGAUAUCUGGAGGAACACCGGUGGCGAAGGCGGCGUUCUGGACUGUUUCUGACACUGAAUAACGAAAGCCAGGGGAGCAAACGGG
rnacentral:rRNA from 1 species